GGAGGAUUCGCCUAGUGGCCUAGGGCGCACGCUUGGAAAGCGUGUUGGGGGCAACCCCUCGCGAGUUCGAAUCUCGCAUCCUCCGCCG
rnacentral:tRNA from 9 species